AAAUUGAAGAGUUUGAUCAUGGCUCAGAUUGAACGCUGGCGGCAGGCCUAACACAUGCAAGUCGAACGGUAACAGGAAGCAGCUUGCUGCUUUGCUGACGAGUGGCGGACGGGUGAGUAAUGUCUGGGAAACUGCCUGAUGGAGGGGGAUAACUACUGGAAACGGUGGCUAAUACCGCAUAACGUCGCAAGACCAAAGAGGGGGACCUUCGGGCCUCUUGCCAUCAGAUGUGCCCAGAUGGGAUUAGCUAGUUGGUGAGGUAACGGCUCACCAAGGCGACGAUCCCUAGCUGGUCUGAGAGGAUGACCAGCCACACUGGAACUGAGACACG
rnacentral:rRNA from 1 species